GGGGAUAUAGCUCAGUUGGUAGAGUGCUUGCCUUGCAUGCACAAGGCCCUGGGUUCCAUCCCCAGCAUCAUUA
rnacentral:tRNA from 1 species